CUAUUUUUACCGUGUUUAUCAAUAUUACGUGCGGUUAUCGUUGUUGAAUGAACACGUACUACUUACAUCGCGUGUCGGGACGUUCGGGUCGUUGUUUGACAUGGAAUCGACGGCGGCGAUGCGUCGUCGUGGCACCAACCAACGGACGCGAGCUUUGAACAAGAGCGCAAGCGCGGGCCGUUUGACGAGACAGUCGCCGCAGCGGAUACAACACCUCGCUCAAGAGACUGAAGUGGUGGACAGCUUGCUGUGAAAGAUGGAAGCGUUCUUCCUGCAAGUCUGGACAAGGCCAUAUUAAAUGGCUUCAUCUGUCACAAAUCGCUGGCCACGAAUGUAAAGAAUACCUUGGCCCCACUUCUGUCGAGGGAACCGAAGUUGCCUGAACAGAUGAAGAGGGGUGGUGCUACCAAUAGUGAACGACUGUGAUUUUAUAAUGUGCAAGUGUAUGAAAAAUCUUGUUACACUAAUUUAACGUUAAUUGCAUUCACUAGUCAAGUGUCAAUAUUGUAAUGUGUAAGUUUAUGCACAGUUGCAUUAAGUGAGCGCUCAUUCAAGCUUCAAGUUCGCAAUCAUAUAUUUUGGUGGUAUUCAUAGGGCACACAUUCCACUUUAAAAUUGUGAUCUGCUCCUUUACUGAGGGUGCAUGCAGGUCCUUGAAACGAUUGAAAACCCUUGAAAAAGUAAAAGUACAUUUUUAAAGCCCUGA